rnacentral:misc_RNA from 1 species
GUCAAGUACAGCAAGUUUUUAAUGACACUUAAAAGGCGUUCUCAAACAGUUUAUAGGCUUUUUCACAAUGAUAAAAGUGGAGUUGUAAAAUGUGCUAUUGAUACAUCAUCUCAAUUAGCUAGACCAACACCCCCACCCCCAACCCCAGGCUUCAAUUCUGUAUAUUACCUUAGCAUGCAGAAGAAGCUGCACCUACAAUCUUCCUUUCUAAUUCAACAUAAGCUAGAAACUAAUAACCAAUCCAAAAUUAAAUUUUUUUAACCAUAAAAAAGUCCAAAAAGCUAACAUAAACA